rnacentral:misc_RNA from 1 species
AUUACAACAAUGUUCUAAAAUCAAAAUCAACAAAUCAGAAAACUAGAGCACUUCCCAGAAGAGCGAAAAGCCCAAACUGAAAACUCACGUUCAGCUCGUUAAUCUUGUAGCCAGCGUUAGUACUGUUAGUAGAACUGCCGUUAGUUGGGGUAGUAGAAUUAGUACCUGCUCCAGUUGCAGUAUUUCGACCGCUGCUCUGUGAGGCCACCAAUUCCAGUGUUCCCAUUGCCUGCAGAUUCGCUUGGGCGAACUCGUGCUUUGCUGGAAAUCCGUCUUUCACCGACGGACCCACUUGCCAAAUCUGGUUCACCUUCGCCAAGCUUUCCGGGAUCUUUACUGCAGCGAAGAUCACGAAGUUACCACUGGAGUCGGAAUCUGCACUCAAGUCCCAUGUCUCGACCGCUAGCUUUGAUGUCUCUUUAAUAUCACUGUAAGAGGCGAUGCUGAAUUUCUUCACAACCACUACGCUAUCGUUUUUCAUCGCUACCAGAGCCUGAGCCCCUGCCAUGCCGGUGCCAUUGAGGUUGAUGGCCCACCCCACCCAGCCAUCAGAUUUGGACGGAGGGGCCUUGAAGGCGAUUGAAAGUGAAGAGUUGGAGGCAUUGUAGGUGUAGUGUAGGUAGGAGUUGAGUGUGGACAGGUCUAUACAGUUAUCAUAGAGCCGGUUGGUGAACUUCUGGGAUGUGCAGUUGAGUGAAUGUGCAGGUGAGAUCAGCAGAACCACCACCACCGUCCAGAGAGAAACAAACAAGGCAGGACAACAAACAAAGGAACGGGAAGCCAUCGUUAAUGUCAAACAAAGCUCUGCAGAUGAAAUUGGCC